UACGUAGGGUGCGAGCGUUAAUCGGAAUUACUGGGCGUAAAGCGUGCGCAGGCGGUUUUGUAAGCCAGAUGUGAAAUCCCCGGGCUUAACCUGGGAACUGCAUUUGUGACUGCAUGGCUGGAGUGCGGCAGAGGGGGAUGGAAUUCCGCGUGUAGCAGUGAAAUGCGUAGAUAUGCGGAGGAACACCGAUGGCGAAGGCAGUCCCCUGGGCCUGCACUGACGCUCAUGCACGAAAGCGUGGGGAGCAAACAGG
rnacentral:rRNA from 1 species